rnacentral:misc_RNA from 1 species
UAAUAAUAAUAAUAAUAAUAAAAUACUAAUCAGAAAAAACAGAAGAAGAUAAUUCUACAUGUUUUUACAAAUAAAAUUUCAAAGAAGGCAAUAAGCGAUUUAAGAAUUAAAGAGUUUAAUACCUGUCUCAAUUGAGGGCAAUUCUCAGCUGCCAAGAACCAAAUUAAUCUAAAUCCAAUGAAUUCUAUAAAAAUAUAUAGCCAAAUGUCAUGUAAAGAAAAGCUAAUAAUGAAGUGCAAAAGUUCAAUUCCAAUUAAUUUUAUAGCUCAAUCAAGAUAUAAACAUAGAUAAGGCUAAAAAUACCUUAAAAAUGGAGAAAAUAAGGAAUAAACCCUAGAUUUGAAUUCAAAACGAAAACGUAGUAAACAGAUGAGAUACAAUUAAUGAAAUAACUAACUACGGUGACAGGAGUAAUAAAAAAGAUUUAUCAAUCGGCAUAGAAAUUGUUGAAAUAAAUUGGAAAAUAACAAUAUUUGUAGCGUGAUGGACGAAAUUUAAGAACCUGAUUCGAUCGGAGAUGGAGGUCAAGAAAGAACUAGCAUGGCGUCGGUGGCAGUCGUAUUCUUCAUCGCUC